CGGAAGGUGCAAGCGUUAUCCGGCUUUAUUGGGUUUAAAGGGUCCGUAGGUGGACCAUUAAGUCAGAAGUGAAAGCCCGCGGCUCAACCGCGGAACUGCCUUUGAUACUGGUGGUCUUGAGUGUGCUCGAAGUUGGCGGAAUAUGACAUGUAGCGGUGAAAUGCUUAGAUAUGUCAUAGAACACCGAUUGCGAAGGCAGCCAACUAGGUCACAACUGACACUGAUGGACGAAAGCGUGGGGAGCGAACAGGAUUAGAUACCCCUGUAGUCCUGGCCGUAAACGAUGAACACUAGUGUCGGGGGAAUCGACCCCCUCCGGUGUCUUA
rnacentral:rRNA from 1 species